GUGAGGAAUAUUGGUCAAUGGGCGAGAGCCUGAACCAGCCAAGUCGCGUGAAGGAAGAAGGAUCUAUGGUUCGUAAACUUCUUUUGCAGGGGAAUAAAGUGCGGGACGUGUCCUGUUUUGUAUGUACCCUGAGAAUAAGGAUCGGCUAACUCCGUGCCAGCAGCCGCGGUAAUACGGAGGAUCCGAGCGUUAUCCGGAUUUAUUGGGUUUAAAGGGUGCGUAGGUGGUUUGAUAAGUCAGCGGUGAAAGUUUGCAGCUUAACUGUAAAAAUGCCGUUGAAACUGUCCGACUUGAGUGUAAAUGAGGUAGGCGGAAUGCGUAGUGUAGCGGUGAAAUGCAUAGCUAUCACGCUGAACUCCGAUUGCGAAGGCAGAUUACUAAGCUACAACUGACACUGAAGCACGAAAGCGUGGGGAUCAAACAGGAUUAGAUACCCUGGUAGUCC
rnacentral:rRNA from 1 species